CGGAAGCCCGGGGUUGGGGUGGGGGUUUUUUUUUUAGGGGGUUUUUUUCGUAGAUUGAACGCUGGCGGCAGGCCUAACACAUGCAAGUCGAGCGGAAACGAGUUAUCUGAACCUUCGGGGAACGAUAACGGCGUCGAGCGGCGGACGGGUGAGUAAUGCCUAGGAAAUUGCCCUGAUGUGGGGGAUAACCAUUGGAAACGAUGGCUAAUACCGCAUAAUACCUACGGGUCAAAGAGGGGGACCUUCGGGCCUCUCGCGUCAGGAUAUGCCUAGGUGGGAUUAGCUAGUUGGUGAGGUAAUGGCUCACCAAGGCGACGAUCCCUAGCUGGUCUGAGAGGAUGAUCAGCCACACUGGAACUGAGACACGGUCCAGACUCCUACGGGAGGCAGCAGUGGGGAAUAUUGCACAAUGGGCGCAAGCCUGAUGCAGCCAUGCCGCGUGUGUGAAGAAGGCCUUCGGGUUGUAAAGCACUUUCAGUCGUGAGGAAGGUAGUGUAGUUAAUAGCUGCAUUAUUUGACGUUAGCGACAGAAGAAGCACCGGCUAACUCCGUGCCAGCAGCCGCGGUAAUACGGAGGGUGCGAGCGUUAAUCGGAAUUACUGGGCGUAAAGCGCAUGCAGGUGGUUUGUUAAGUCAGAUGUGAAAGCCCGGGGCUCAACCUCGGAAUAGCAUUUGAAACUGGCAGACUAGAGUACUGUAGAGGGGGGUAGAAUUUCAGGUGUAGCGGUGAAAUGCGUAGAGAUCUGAAGGAAUACCGGUGGCGAAGGCGGCCCCCUGGACAGAUACUGACACUCAGAUGCGAAAGGGCGA
rnacentral:rRNA from 1 species